rnacentral:rRNA from 1 species
ACUGACUCAGACUAGCCAUGCAUGUCUAAGUAUAAAUGAUAUACAGUGAAACUGCGAAUGGCUCACUAAAACAGUUAUAGUUUAUUUGGUAAUCGAAUUUACAUGGAUAACCGUGGUAAUUCUAGAGCUAAUACAUGCUGUAAAGCCCGACUUUUUGGAAGGGCCGUAUUUAUUAGAUAACAGACCAAUAUUCCUCGUGUCUAUUGUGGUGAAUCAUAGUAACUAAUCGGAUCGCAUGGGCUAGUCCCGCGACAAACCAUUCAAGUUUCUGCCCCAUCAGCUUUCGAUGGUAGUGUAUUGGACUACCAUGGCUUUUACGGGUAACGGAGGAUUAGGGUUCGAUUCCGGAGAGGGAGCCUGAGAAACGGCUACCACAUCUAAGGAAGGCAGCAGGCGCGUAAAUUACCCAAUUCUAAUUCAGAGAGGUAGUGACAAGAAAUAACGGGUCGGGACAUACGUCCCGGGACUGCAAUGAGAUGAAUUUACACCCCUUUUCGAGU